CGACGGAUGUCAGAGGACUGGUAACUCUUUGGCUAUGUGUGACACAGCCAUUACAAAGCAUUAAGGUGUCUGCUGUUUGGGAGUUGGUUGGGAUAGACCUGACUGGGCCUCUCCCAAAAACCAAGGAUGGCUUUCAGUACAUUCUUACUGCCACCGAUUAUUUUUCCAAACACAGAUGCCCCCAAAGAAUCCUGUCCGACCAAGGAAGAGAAUUUGUCAAUUAGCUCAACGAUAACCUUUGUGCCCUCCUGUGCAUUGAAAGGAGUGUUACAGCUGCAUAUCAUCC